UGGGGAAUAUUGGGCAAUGGGCGAAAGCCUGACCCAGCAACGCCGCGUGAGGGAAGAAGGUUUUCGGAUCGUAAACCUCUGUCCUUGGUGAAGAGUAAGAGACGGUAGCCAAGGAGGAAGCCCCGGCUAACUACGUGCCAGCAGCCGCGGUAAUACGUAGGGGGCGAGCGUUGUCCGGAAUGAUUGGGCGUAAAGGGCGCGUAGGCGGCCUGUUAGGUCUGGAGUGAAAUUCCUGCUUUCAAGGUAGGAAGUGCUUUGGAAACUGGCGGGCUGGAGUGCAGGAGAGGUUAGCGGAAUUCCCGGUGUAGCGGUGAAAUGCGUAGAGAUCGGGAGGAACACCAGUGGCGAAGGCGGCUAACUGGACUGUAACUGACGCUGAGGCGCGAAAGUGUGGGGAGCAAACA
rnacentral:rRNA from 1 species